AUUAAUAUACGAGCUAGAAUACGAGAAUUAUACGUAUAGUAUAUGUAAUAAGGCUUUAAGCCAAUUGUGAAUAAAUGAAUGGAUUAUGUAGGAUGUAUAAGUCCAAUAUGAAUUAAGAUGCAAGCCCAAUAGUAAUAAGCUAAGUUAACUAAGUUAAGCCCAAUGUCAUGAUCCAAUGGGUUAGGCUUGAACCAUGGAGCAACCCAUGGGUGAAG
rnacentral:lncRNA from 1 species